rnacentral:rRNA from 1 species
UAAUUAAGCGGAGGAAAAGAAACUAACUAGGAUUCCCUCAGUAACGGCGAGUGAAGCGGGACUAGCUCAGGAUGUGAAUCUGCGCUUUUAUGGCGCCGAAUUGUGGUCUGUAGACCUUGACGUUAUUUGCCGGGCCAAGUUCCUUGGAAAAGGACAGCUGAGAGGGUGAGACUCCCGUCCGCCUGGUAGAGUGAGUCAUGUGUCAACGAGUCGAGUUGUUUGGGAUUGCAGCUCUAAUUUGGUGGUAAAUUCCAUCUAAAGCUAAAUAUUGGUGGG